UGCUCCACGCAGAAUGAGACGAUGGCC
rnacentral:piRNA from 1 species